CCCUUAGAUGUUCUGGGCCGCACGCGCGCUACACUGACUGACUCAACGAGUGUACAACCUGCUUCGACAGAAGUGGGUAAUCUUUUGAAAUUCAGUCGUGAUGGGGCUAGAUUAUUGCAACUAUUAAUCUUCAACGAGGAAUGCCUAGUAAGCGCGAAACAUCAGUUCGCGUUGAUUACGUCCCUGCCCUUUGUACACACCGCCCGUCGCACCUACCGAUUGAAUGGUCCGGUGAAAUCUCCGGACUGGCGUGAGUCGGAGCAAUCUGACAAACGCCGGAAAGUUGAUUAAACCUUACCAUUUAGAGGAAGGUGAAGUCGUAACA
rnacentral:rRNA from 1 species